rnacentral:lncRNA from 1 species
ACUACUUCAUUUGCUCAUUUCCAGGCCACUGCCUCGGCGGUCAGAAAUUAGCCAUCAACGUUAGCGCCAGGGGAUCUUCUCCUGCUCCUCAACCUUCUUCUCCGGCCCCUCAGCCCAGCGGUAGUACUCCCUCUCCGGUUCCUGCACCAGCACGGACACCGACACCGGCACCAGCACCAGCACCAGAACCAGCAACAACACCUACGCCAGCACCAGCAUCAGCACCAACACCAACACCGAGAUCAGCACCAACACCAGCUCCCACAAGACAGCCAGCGACUCAUGUUGUUGGAGGUGCUCUAGGAUGGACUGUCCCUCCCAACGCUUCUGUGGGUUACCAGAAUUGGGCUCGCAACAACAACUUUUCGGUCGGAGACAUU